rnacentral:snoRNA from 1 species
AAGCACUGCCUUUGAACCCGCUGUGUCUUGUUUGUAGCUUCACGGGCCAAGCAACAGUGCUAGAGCAUAAGGACUUGUUAUAACUGGGGCUCUUCAGCUCUCAACUGAACUGCUCUUUUAAAAACAAGGUACAUUU